rnacentral:rRNA from 1 species
UCUUCCACACUGGACGUACGUCUGAUGGAGCAUCGCCGCGUGAGCGAAGAAGGUUCUCGGUUCGUAAAUCUCUGUUACGAGGGAUGAACCAGUACGGUAGUAACUGCUUGUACCUUCACUGUACCUCGUCAGAAAGCCACUGCUAACUACCUUCCCGCUGCCGCGGUAAUACGUAGGUGGCAAGCGUUGUCCGGAAUUAUUGGGCGUAAAGCGCGCGCAGGCGGUCCUUUAAGUCUGAUGUGAAAGCCCACGGCUCAACCGUGGAGGGUCAUUGGAAACUGGAGGACUUGAGUACAGAAGAGGAAAGCGGAAUUCCACGUGUAGCGGUGAAAUGCGUAGAGAUGUGGAGGAACACCAGUGGCGAAGGCGGCUUUCUGGUCUGUAACUGACGCUGAGGCGCGAAAGCGUGGGGAGCAAACA